AGCCAUUUUCCCUCUGCUGUGAAGUGCAGCCGGGUUACCGCAGUCCCACUGAUAAGAGAAGCUUACGCUGGAAUGUGAAUCUAUGCACUGCUUCCUCAGGAAAACCUCACUGUAAAUUUGAGCUGAACCUUAGCAAAGUCUUGUCUCAUGGACGGGAACCAGCAGUGUGAGAAAUGGCGCCCGUCAAGGAGACCUCAUGGAGAGUAGUGCUGGUCCAGAGCUUCCCCAGGGAGAGAGAACUCCAAGGGAGAAUGAUGUGAUUGUACCUCAGACUCUUAUUGUACUCAAUCAGUUCCCUCCAGGAUCUCCCAGAGGUGUAAAGCAUCAGAGGUAUAAUGCUGUUUUUCCCCUCUCU
rnacentral:lncRNA from 1 species